rnacentral:rRNA from 1 species
UAGGGAAUUUUCGUCAAUGGGGGAAGCCCUGAACGAGCAAUGCCGCGUGUGUGAAGAAGGUCUUCGGAUCGUAAAGCACUGUUGUAAGUGAAGAAUGCCAUAUAGAGGAAAUGCUAUGUGGGUGACGGUAGCUUACCAGAAAGCCACGGCUAACUACGUGCCAGCAGCCGCGGUAAUACGUAGGUGGCAAGCGUUAUCCGGAAUCAUUGGGCGUAAAGGGUGCGUAGGUGGCACGAUAAGUCUGAAGUAAAAGGCAACAGCUCAACUGUUGUAUGCUUUGGAAACUGUCGAGCUAGAGUGCAGAAGAGGGCGAUGGAAUUCCAUGUGUAGCGGUAAAAUGCGUAGAUAUAUGGAGGAACACCAGUGGCGAAGGCGGUCGCCUGGUCUGUAACUGACACUGAGGCACGAAAGCGUGGGGAUCGAACAGGAUUAGAUACC